GUGACACGGUCCAGCUCUGAAUGCUCCCAGGGAUGCUGGAAUGCUGACCAGCAGAUAGCAGAGCUGACAAACGCUGUGCUUAUCACAGGCCCUGCUGAGCCAUCCCAUUCACCCCGUUUGUGUUGCCUGUGCUGCCCAGAGGAGCCAGGAAACCAUGGGAGAUCCCUCAGAAUCAGAGAAACAGCGAGAGAUUUAACAAAGCCUCAGGAAAAGUCACCCUGGAGUUGGUUUGGAGCAGCGGAGCGGAGCCGGAGCUGCUGACCCGGAGCUCUGGGGGAAAGGAGUGGGGGCUGCUUUCCUAGCAGGAGCUCCAGCAGCCUCUAAUGAAAAUCACUCAAAACCGAAGCAGUUCUGGGAACAGCUGUGGUUUUUGGAGCUGGGAAUGAACACCUUACGCUGCCCUAAAUCCCCGACUUUUCUUCCCACAGAAUUGGCUUGGCAACAGUGACAAUGCUUCGGGAGGCACGGAGCCGUUUCUGCUCUCCACACAAGCAUUUUGCCACUCCGUAGGAAAUAUCACUGAUACUCGAGGGAGAAAUUUGCCAGGCCUCAAAAAGGAACAAACAGAACAACAAAACAAACAUAUGCCAGCCACAGAAUUCUAAAAGGACUCAAAUUGGGCUCAUUACCAGAGGACUGAGAUUAUAUAAUGGAGUGAUCUUCUUAACAUUUCCCUGAAUCUGCACGU